CCUUCGGGUUGUAAAGCUCUGUCGGAGGGGACAAAAACUCCAUUAGUUAAUAGCUAGUGGACUUGAUGGUACCCUCAAAGGAAGCACCGGCUAACUUCGUGC
rnacentral:rRNA from 1 species